rnacentral:rRNA from 1 species
CCCUUAGAUGUUCUGGGCCGCACGCGCGCUACACUGAUGCAUUCAACGAGUCUAAAACCUGCUCUGAUAGGGGUGGGUAAUCUUUUGAAUGUGCAUCGUGAUUGGGAUAGAUGAUUGCAAUUUUUCAUCUUCAACGAGGAAUGCCUAGUAAACGCAAGUCAUCAGCUUGCAUUGAUUACGUCCCUGCCCUUUGUACACACCGCCCGUCGCUCCUACCGAUUGAAUGAUCCGAUGAAUAUCAUGGAUUGAGGAUGCAAGCAGGUUCGCCUGUCUACAUCUUCGAGAAGUGAAGUAAAUCUUAUCAUUUAGAGGAAGGAGAAGUCGUAACA